CUUGUGUCAAAAAUAUCAAAAGAUUAUAAUAUCAUGAUAGAUAAAAUAAUAACUUGUUUAGGCAAUCAAACAAUUCCUUGCAUCACAGCAGAUUCAUGGUCAUCAUACCAUCGUUCGUUUUUAGGCAUGACUCUACACUGGUUAGAUGCUGUCACUUUAGAAAGAAAAUCGGCAUGCUUAGCUUGCCAAAGGCUAACUAGCAAACACACAUAUGAUUAUUUAGAAGAAAUUUAAAAUACAUAAUAAGGUAACUUUAUGUGUCACUGAUAAUGCAAGAAACUUUUUAAAGGCCUUUAGAUUAUUUGAGAAAAUAUUUGAAGAUGAGGAAGAUGAAAUUGAAUCAUCAUCAUUAAAUGAGGUGCUUGAAAAUCAAAAUAGGGAGGAAAACUUUAUCUAUCUCCCCAAACAUCACUAUUGUGCUUGCCACAAUCUUAAUUUAGUGGCAAGUGUUGAUGCUGAAAAAGCAUUAGAAGAUGUAUCUUUUAAAAGAAUAUCAAAUAGUGCAUUUGAU